rnacentral:piRNA from 1 species
UCCAAUCCUUGAUGGUGAUGCUAGC